rnacentral:rRNA from 1 species
AUAUUUGAGAACAUGAUGUUGGUUCAGAUCAAAUGCUAUGUAGAGACAUAACACAUGCAAGUUAUAAAAAUAAUUUAUAGCGUUAAGGUGAGUGAAAUAAGAUAAAAAAAAAUCUUAUACAGAUGUAGGUAUUAGAAAAAUUCUAGCCAUAGAACUGGAACCGACGAUUAGGGUCACAACGGUCACAUUGAUUAAUUUCAACUCUUAUAUAGAGCAGCAGUGGGGAAUUUUUGACAAUGGUCUAACGACUGAUCAAGUUAUCUACAAGAAGGAAAUUAAUAAAAAAAAUAAUAAUAAUAGAUAAACUAUAAACUUCUAAAUAAUAGUAAUAAUGAUACUAAUUAUAAAAAAGUCCUAACUAAAAUAUGUGCCAGCAGCUGCGGUGUGCGACAAGAAAGUUAUUAUUUAUAAUUCAAUAAAGCCCCCAAUGUAGUAAAAAUGUGGGGGAAUAAAUUGACAUAUUAGUAACAAAUAUGUACCUAUCUACACAUGCGUUAUAAGUAAUUAUUAGGUAUGAAGCUGUAGAGACAAUGUAACCUAAACUAAAAUCACAAGUUUAGGGGCUAGGUAAAUUUACUAUGGUUAAUGAAAAUCAACUACUUGUAGAGGUCUUUAUAAGGUGAUAACCCAUAUUUUAGAUAUGGAUAAAAAUAAGUCAAGAGUUUAGAUAAAUUCAUCGUAUAUUUUAUCUUGUUAUAAACGUUAAAAUUGACAGAGAUAAAGAGUAGAACCUAAGGUAAAAAUAGUAUAAAUAAUAAAACUUGGUAAGCCUUAUAUUUACUAUGGUAAAACAUAGAGGUUAUUAAUAAUAUAAAAAAAAUAAAAAUAAUAAUAUCAAAUAGAAGGUAAAAGACUUCUUAAAAAGCAAAAGCGAUAAUGUAAUGUUAUUGAUAGAUCGAAAGAUUAACUUGAAAGAGUGCAGACUUAAGAUAAGGGUGUUAUAAAGAUAAUGCGUGAGCCGUAUACGAUGAAAGUUGUAUGUACGGUUCUAAAGGGGGGAAAGUUUGUGAGGACCUACCUAUCCUAAUUAGACAUAGAGGGCAAGCAUUGAUCAGAAAGGCUUAAAGGAUCUGUAGAACGACUAAAAAAGAUAGAAUAAUGAGAAUCUUUAAAUAAAAAAGAUGAAGGUAAUAAGAAUUAAAGUUAGAGAGAUAAAAUAUGAGGAAAACUUUAAGACUAUAAAGAGGUUACUAAGAAUUAUUGACGUUGUGAGAUGAAGGCUAUGGUAGCGACAUGGAUUUGAUACCCAUUUAGUCAUAGCAGUUAACGAUGAAUACAAUGAAAGAUAAAUGAAAAUGAGAAGUAUUCCGCCUGACUAGUACGCUCGCAAGGGUGAAAUACAAGACAUUAGACGGUUGUAGUCCCAAGCAGUGGAACAUGUCAUUUAAUUGGAUGAUCCUCCAAAAACCUUACCAUCUCUUGAAUUAAUUCUCAACAGGCGUUACAUCGUUGUCGUCAGUUCAUGCCGUGAGGUUUAAUAUUAAGUUAUUGAAUGAACGUAACCCUUUUAUUUAUAUAAGUAUAAUUGUAAAAUUAUAGGAAGUAGAGGUAGAAGACUAAUCAUGAUGACCCUUAUGAGAUGGGCUAUAGACGUGUUACAAUAUUAAUAACAAUUAAAUUUAAUUUAAUAAAUUAAUAAAUACCCCCCACCUAGUGGGGGGUUAUUAAAUAUUAAGAAUAUGAUUUUUUUCUUUUAUGGAUUGUAAUCUGAAAUUCGGUUACAUAAAGGAGGAAUUGCUAGUAAUCGUAAACUAGAGUGUUACGGUGAAAUUCUUUGCUACUUCGUACUAACCACUCAUCAACAGCAAGAAAUUUUUAUUUUACUUAUUGAGUUUUUAAAAAAAAAGGACUUGCUGUAAGUUGAAAUACGGUUCGGUUAGGGGAACCUGAUCGGGAUUUAUAUAUUUA